UGUAGCUCUAAACUCUACUUCACAAUGGUGGAUGAGACAGAAGAUAUUGAUGUCUUCCAAGACCACACAGAAACCAGAUCUUGCACUAGGGAGGAAGUGUCCAAGAUUAUUGGCUGGCAGUUGUGUUCUGAAAUGUUGUAUCCUGACUCAGCCAGUGGUUUGCCUUUCCCCUUUACUGGACCUCUGAGAGUGGCUGUCACAUUAACUAAGCAAGACAGAGGCCUGCAGCAAUACCUUGUGGAAGCUGCAUAUAACUAUAUUCCUCAGGAGGAUUCUUGGAUCCCAAAUGAAGCUGUCCUUCACUUCUUCAUUGGGACUCCAAAGUCAAACUUGAAAAGGGAUGUUGGUGUUGACCUAAAUUUUAGUGUCCUGCAGAAGAAAUUCAGAAUCAAAUUUAUACAACCGAAGAAGAAAAUCGAGAUAGAUGGU
rnacentral:lncRNA from 1 species